AUUGAACGCUGGCGGCAGGCCUAACACAUGCAAGUCGAGCGGAUGAAGGGAGCUUGCUCCUGGAUUCAGCGGCGGACGGGUGAGUAAUGCCUAGGAAUCUGCCUGGUAGUGGGGGAUAACGUCCGGAAACGGGCGCUAAUACCGCAUCCGUCCUGAGGGAGAACGUGGGGGAUCUUCGGACCUCACGCUAUCAGAUGAGCCUAGGCCGGAUUAGCUAGUUGGUGGGGUAAAGGCCUACCAAGGCGACGAUCCGUAACUGGUCUGAGAGGAUGAUCAGUCACACUGGAACUGAGACACGGUCCAGACUCCUACGGGAGGCAGCAGUGGGGAAUAUUGGACAAUGGGCGAAAGCCUGAUCCAGCCACGCCGCGUGUGUGAAGAAGGUCUUCGGAUUGUAAAGCACUUUAAGUUGGGAGGAAGGGCAGUAAGUUAAUCCCUUGCUGUUUUGACGCUACCAACAGAAUAAGCACCGGCUAACUUCGUG
rnacentral:rRNA from 1 species